rnacentral:tRNA from 1 species
GCCAGCGAAGCUCUAAGGUUGAGCGAGUCCUUCAUGAGGACGAGGUGUUGGUUCAACUCCAACCUUUGGCC